GAUGAACGCUGACAGAAUGCUUAACACAUGCCAGUCAUUGGCGAAGCUGCGCUUGCGCAGUCUAGCCAAGGCGGACGGGUGAGUAACGCGUAAGGAACUUGCCCUGCAGACAGGGAUAACAGACGGAAACGACUGAUAACACCUGGUAUUGUCAGGCUGGCGCAUGCCGGCCUGAUGAAAGGAGACGCUGCAGGAGAGCCUUGCGUCCUAUUAGCUAGUUGGUGGGGUAACGGCCCACCAAGGCGAUGAUAGGUAGCCGGCCUGAGAGGGUGAACGGCCACAAGGGGACUGAGAUACGGCCCUUACUCCUACGGGAGGCAGCAGUGGGGAAUAUUGGACAAUGGGGGCAACCCUGAUACAGCAAUUCUGUGUGCACGAAGAAGGUUUUCGGAGUGUAAAGUGCUUUCAGAAGGGAAGAAGAAAGUGACGGUACCUGCAGAAGAAGCGACGGCUAAAUACGUG
rnacentral:rRNA from 1 species